rnacentral:rRNA from 1 species
GACGAACGCUGGCGGCGUGCCUAAUACAUGCAAGUCGAGCGAGCUUGCCUAGAUGAUUUUAGUGCUUGCACUAAAUGAAACUAGAUACAAGCGAGCGGCGGACGGGUGAGUAACACGUGGGUAACCUGCCCAAGAGACUGGGAUAACACCUGGAAACAGACGCUAAUACCGCAUGACAUACGGACAUGGCAUCAUGAUCGUAUCAAAGGAGCAAUCCGCUUUAAGAUGGACUCGCGUCCAAUUAGCUAGUUGGUGAGGUAACGGCCCACCAAGGCGACGAUUGGUAGCCGGACUGAGAGGUUGAACGGCCACAUUGGGACUGAGACACGGCCCAG